GAAUUUUGGACAAUGGGGGCAACCCUGAUCCAGCCAUCCCGCGUGUGCGAUGAAGGCCUUCGGGUUGUAAAGCACUUUUGGCCGGGAAGAAACGGCUCUGGCUAAUAGCUGGAGCUUCUGGCGUUACCUGCAGAAUCAGCACCGGCUAUCUACGUGCCAGCCGCCGCGGUAAUACGUAGGGGGCAAGCGUUAAUCGGAAUUACUGGGCGUAAAGCGUGCGCAGGCGGUUCGGCAAGAAGGAUGUGAAAUCCCAGGGCUUAACCUUGGAACUGCAUUCUUAACUGCCGGGCUAGAGUAUAUCAGAGGGGGGUAGAAUUCCGCGUGUAGCAGUGAAAUGCGUAGAGAUGCGGAGGAAUACCGAUGGCGAAGGCAGCCCCCUGGGAUAAUACUGACGCUCAUGCACGAAAGCGUGGGGAGCAAAC
rnacentral:rRNA from 1 species